rnacentral:rRNA from 1 species
CACGCAGUAAACGAUGUACACUAGGUGGUGGGCAUUACUGUUCAGUACCGAAGCUAACGCAUUAAGUGUACCGCCUGGGGAGUAUGCCCGCAAGGGUGAAACUCAAAGGAAUUGACGGGGGCCCGCACAAGCGGUGGAGCAUGUGGUUUAAUUCGAUGAUACGCGAGAAACCUUACCAGGGCUUGACAUACACUGGAAUGGUUAAGAGAUUAAUCAGCCCUUCGGGGCCGGUGUACAGGUGC